GAUGAACGCUGGCGGCGUGCUUAACACAUGCAAGUCGAACGAAGCACUUUAUUUUAUUUCCUUCGGGACUGAUUAUUUUGUGACUGAGUGGCGGACGGGUGAGUAACGCGGGGGUAACCUGCCUUGUACAGGGGGAUAACAGUGGGAAACUGCUGCUAAUACCGCAUAAGCGCACAGCAUCGCAUGAUGCAGUGUGAAAAACUCCGGUGGUAUAAGAUGUACCCGCGUUGGAUUAGCUAGUUGGUGAGGUAACGGCCCACCAAGGCGACGAUCCAUAGCCGAGCAGAGAGGGUGCCCGGCAACAUUGGGACUGAGACACGGCCCAAACUCAUACGGGAGGCAGCAGUGGGGAAUAUUGCACAAUGGGCGAAAGCCUGAUGCAGCGACGCCGCGUGAGCGAAGAAGUAUUUCGGUAUGUAAAGCUCUAUUAGCAGGGAAGAUAAUGACGGUACCUGACUAAGAAGCACCGGCUAAAUACGUG
rnacentral:rRNA from 1 species